GACGAACGCUGGCGGCGUGCUUAACACAUGCAAGUCGAACGAUGAAGCCCAGCUUGCUGGGUGGAAGAGUGGCGAACGGGUGAGUAACACGUGAGUAACCUGCCCUGAACUCUGGGAUAAGCACUGGAAACGGUGUCUAAUACUGGAUACGACCUAUCACCGCAUGGUGUGUGGGUGGAAAGAUUUAUCGGUUCUGGAUGGACUCGCGGCCUAUCAGCUAGAUGGUGAGGUAAUGGCUCACCAUGGCGACGACGGGUAGCCGGCCUGAGAGGGUGACCGGCCACACUGGGACUGAGACACGGCCCAGACUCCUACGGGAGGCAGCAGUGGGGAAUAUUGCACAAUGGGCGCAAGCCUGAGGCAGCAACGCCGCGUGAGGGAUGACGGCCUUCGGGUUGUAAACCUCUUUUAGUAGGGAAGAAGCGAAAGUGACGGUACCUGCAGAAAAAGCACCGGCUAACUACGG
rnacentral:rRNA from 1 species